rnacentral:tRNA from 1 species
GCAGAUGUGGCGGAAUUGGUAGACGCGCUACCUUGAGGGGGUAGUGUCCUAUGGACGUGGGAGUUCGAGUCUCCCCAUCUGCA